CUCUUCUUUCUUUCUUUCUGGUCCCAUUAGCAUGAAAACAUCUUUCUCCAAGCUGCUGGACAUAUCUCUAUCUACGAGUUUCCAAAUUUCAUUCCGGUAUCUACUGGCCGGACACCUAAUAACAUUACUUGUAAUCUUUUUGAUUUCCUCUUCAUCAAUCAUUUUUUUUUAACAGAAUCAAUCACUUUAUCUUUCCCUUGCUAAUAGAGUUGUCUGAACUGAUUUCCUCCUCCAUUCAUCCCUUCAGUGUAUAAAUUGGUUAAUGACAAAUAUCAAAGAUCUAUCCUGAUCAUCAACUAAAUCUAGUAGAAAUCACAAUUAAGUCUUGCUUGGGAGACACCUAAUAACUCGGUGCAUUAGUCAAAAUCAACGGCUGUAUCAAAAAACAACUUACAAGACAGACUAUCUGGAUAAAUUAAUGUUCUUCCAACAAAUCAUAUUAUAAAAAUAAGGCAAUUAAAGCACCAAUACAUCCAGGUAUAUUUAUAAUUUAUAUCUGUACCCCCAUCCACCUUAAACUGCAGAGUAAGAACUCAAAGAGCUCUGUGUCUCUGUGUGUGUGUGUGUGUAUAUAAACGCGGAGACUCAAACAUACAUAAUAAGGCCCAAAAUUGCUUGGACAUUCAACAAAUCUAGGCGAACAAUCAUAUAACUGCAAAAGCUGUUACUUAUUCUCCCUUAAAUUGGUGUCCAAGACAUCUCCCACAUACCACAUCUUCCUAAAAUUAAUUUACAAAUAAAAAGCUUAGUCACUUAUUCCAACCAAAAAAAAAAAAAAAAAGAAAAAAAAGAA